GACGAACGCUGGCGGCGUGCUUAACACAUGCAAGUCGAACGAGUGGCGAACGGGUGAGUAAUGUAUGGGGAUCUGCCCGAUAGAGGGGGAUAACUACUGGAAACGGUGGCUAAUACCGCAUACUAUCGGAUGAACCCACAUGGGAUUAGCUAGUAGGUGGGGUAAAGGCUCACCUAGGCGACGAUCUCUAGCUGAUCUGAGAGGAUGAUCAGCCACACUGGGACUGAGACACGGCCCAGAAUCCUACGGGAGGCAGCAGUGGGGAAUAUUGAACAAUGGGCGCAAGCCUGAUGCAGCCAGGCCGCGUGUAUGAAGAAGGCCUUAGGGUUGUAAAGUACUUUCAGCGGGGAGGCGUUACCCGCAGAAGAAGCACCGGCUAACUCCGUGCCAGCAGCCGCGGUAAUUC
rnacentral:rRNA from 1 species